rnacentral:rRNA from 1 species
CCCUUAGAUGCUCUGGGCCGCACGCGCGCUACACUGGUCGAUGCAACGAGUUUCUUUCCUUGGCCGACAGGCCCGGGCAAUCUUUGAACGCUGGUCGUGAUGGGGAUAGACUUUUGCAAUUUUUGGUCUUCAACGAGGAAUUCCUAGUAAACGCAAGUCAUCAACUUGCAUUGAUUACGUCCCUGCCCUUUGUACACACCGCCCGUCGCACCUACCGAUUGAAUGGUCCGGUGAAGCCUCCGGAUUGGCGCGCACCUCGGUGCCGCCGAGAAGUUGGCUAAACCUUACCAUUUAGAGGAAGGUGAAGUCGUAACA